CAGCAGUAGCCGCGGUAAUACGUAGGUGGCAAGCGUUGUCCGGAAUUAUUGGGCGUAAAGGGCUCGCAGGCGGUUUCUUAAGUCUGAUGUGAAAGCCCCCGGCUCAACCGGGGAGGGUCAUUGGAAACUGGGAAGCUUGAGUGCAGAAGAGGAGAGUGGAAUUCCACGUGUAGCGGUGAAAUGCGUAGAGAUGUGGAGGAACACCAGUGGCGAAGGCGACUCUCUGGUCUGUAACUGACGCUGAGGAGCGAAAGCGUGGGGAGCGAACAGGAUUAGAUACCCCCGUAGUCCCUGUCUCUUAUAC
rnacentral:rRNA from 1 species